rnacentral:lncRNA from 1 species
GGGAUAGAUAGGGUCCUAUAGGGACUUGAAUGAGGAAGGUCUGCUGGAACAGAAAAAACUAAAGCCCAGAAAAAUCUAAAACCAAGUAGGCAAAUGAGAAACCCCAUCACAAGUCUGCCGGGAGCUGUGCUCUAUAAAGGAGAUGAACAAGCCAUGCGGGUGCCCUCAAGAUGUGUGUGACCACGGAAUGGGAGACUGGAGGGACCCAUGAAUUCCAACUACAGGCCUGGUUCCCCCAGUACGAGCCAUAAGCCAGUUGAAUUCGGACGCGAAGACAGAAGGAGGACCGACCAGAGUCACGUUGACAUCAACCACCAUAAUAUGGGGACAGAUCAAGAAAACCACACAGGAAGCUGAGAAACUGCUGGAGCACCAAGGUUUCACCUUUUGCUGGAACUCAGAUGUACAAUCAAUGCUUAACGGACCAAUGCUUUCUGACUGGGCUCCUCUCUACCCUGAAUACAAGAGACCCUAAGAGUUAAGCAGGAAUAUCAGUCUCUAUUCAGCAAGAAGAAGUUGCAGAAGAUGGACCUUCAUCCUUCUGCAACUCUUAGGAUUAAGGGUCUUCUUGUGAAAGGGAAGGGGGAAAUAUGAAAGAAGCAUUCAAACCAGAGUGACUCCAUUUUGAAUAAGGGCUAAGAAAAAUUAAGCUGGAUCACCA